rnacentral:rRNA from 1 species
GAUGAACGCUGGCGGCGUGCCUAACACAUGCAAGUCGAGCGAACAGACGAGGAGCUUGCUCCUCUGACGUUAGCGGCGGACGGGUGAGUAACACGUGGAUAACCUACCUAUAAGACUGGGAUAACUUCGGGAAACCGGAGCUAAUACCGGAUAAUAUAUUGAACCGCAUGGUUCAAUAGUGAAAGACGGUUUUGCUGUCACUUAUAGAUGUAUCCGCGCCGCAUUAGCUAGUUGGUAAGGUAACGGCUUACCAAGGCAACGAUGCGUAGCCGACCUGAGAGGGUGAUCGGCCACACUGGAACUGAGACACGGUCCAGACUCCUACGGGAGGCAGCAGUAGGGAAUCUUCCGCAAUGGGCGAAAGCCUGACGGAGCAACGCCGCGUGAGUGAUGAAGGUCUUCGGAUCGUAAAACUCUGUUAUUAGGGAAGAACAAAUGUGUAAGUAACUAUGCACGUCUUGACGGUACCUAAUCAGAAAGCCACGGCUAACUACGUG